ACAGAGGGGCACCGAGCGGCGCACAAGACUGGUAAGCUUGGAGUUGGAAUCCCGCUCUGCUGCUGCCCCACUGUCCUCCAUUGCUGCCCACAAGGCAACCUGUUCCAAAGGCAGCAUGUCAUGUAGCUCAAGGUCAUUCGAGGAUUAAAUGGAGUCCUUAAGAAGCCUGCAAUUUGUGGUGUUGAAAAGAUAUUCAGCAUAGCUGACAAACUUGAUGCUUCAAAAA